rnacentral:lncRNA from 10 species
GAUUAGGAUUGGCUAGUGUGAAUAAUUCCAGUGGGCUCUGGCACAUGACACUCACUCCUACAUUGGCCAAUGAAAUAUCACAAAAUGUGACCAAUGACAGCAACACCUCCUUUUGGGAAUGAAGAUUUUUCCUCCACUCAAAGAAAAGGGGAUAUCUCUGUUUUCAAAGGAAUGGGAGAGCUCUGAGCUUUUUCUGAAAGCAGAUGGGAUAGAGUGCUCCUUUUAGUUUGCACCAAUCCCCACCAUGUUGCCUCAGAUUAGGAGUUUUAAUGCAAUUUUACUUCUGCUAUACCUUUACCAUGCACUCAGGUUACCUCCCUUUGUAAGCAAGUGCCUCUUUUGAUCAAAGCAGGUGACAGUGUUAAGAUUUCUAUCUCCACAGAGAAAGAAUGGAAUGUAUGUGUAGAAAAGCUAAUCACGGCCAGGUGUGGUGGCUCACACCUGUAAUCCCAGCAUUUUGGGAGGCCGAG